rnacentral:rRNA from 1 species
UACGUAGGGUGCAAGCGUUGUCCGGAAUUAUUGGGCGUAAAGCGCCCGUAGGUGGCGACGUAAGUCGGGUGUGAAAGCCCCGGGCUCAACCUGGGAAUUGCAUUCGAGACUGCAUUGCUGGAGUACGGAAGAGGAGGGCGGAAUUCCCGGUGUAGCGGUGAAAUGCGUAGAUAUCGGGAGGAACAUCAGUGGCGAAGGCGGCCCUCUGGUCCAGUACUGACACUCAAGUGCGAAAGCGUGGGGAGCAAACAGG